rnacentral:rRNA from 1 species
UACAGAGGUGGCAAGCGUUGUUCGGAAUUACUGGGCGUAAAGGGCGCGUAGGCGGUUCGUCAAGUCCUGUGUGAAAUCCCCCGGCUCAACUGGGGAACUGCACAGGAAACUAGCGGGCUUGAGUUCGGGAGAGGGAAGCGGAAUUCCGGGUGUGAGCGGUGAAAUGCGUAGAUAUCAGGAGGAACACCGAUGGCGAAGGCAGCUGGCUGGGACGGUACUGGACGCUGAGGCGCGAAAGCGUGGGGAGCGAACAGG